GCCCAGAUGGUGGAAUUGGUAGACACGCUAUCUUGAGGUGGUAGUGCCGACUGGCGUGGGAGUUCGAGUCUCCCUCUGGGCACCA
rnacentral:tRNA from 1 species